rnacentral:rRNA from 1 species
AGUGAACGCUGGCGGUAGGCCUAACACAUGCAAGUCGAACGGCGGCACAGUAAGAGCUUGCUCUUACGGGUGGCGAGUGGCGGACGGGUGAGGAAUACAUCGGAAUCUACUUUUUCGUGGGGGAUGACGUAGGGAAACUUACGCUAAUACCGCAUACGACCUACGGGUGAAAGCAGGGGAUCUUCGGACCUUGCGCGAUUGAAUGAGCCGAUGUCGGAUUAGCUAGUUGGCGGGGUAAAGGCCCACCAAGGCGACGAUCCGUAGCUGGUCUGAGAGGAUGAUCAGCCACACUGGAACUGAGACACGGUCCAGACUCCUACGGGAGGCAGCAGUGGGGAAUAUUGGACAAUGGGCGCAAGCCUGAUCCAGCCAUACCGCGUGGGUGAAGAAGGCCUUCGGGUUGUAAAGCCCUUUUGUUGGGAAAGAAAAGCAGCAGGUUAAUACCCCGCUGUUCUGACGGUACCCAAAGAAUAAGCACCGGCUAACUUCGUG